rnacentral:rRNA from 1 species
UACGUAGGGUGCAAGCGUUGUUCGGAAUUACUGGGCGUAAAGCGCGCGUAGGCGGUCUUCCAAGUCAGUGGUGAAAGCCCGGAGCUCAACUCCGGAAUUGCCAUUGAAACUGUAAGACUUGAGGAUGAGAGAGGUGAGUGGAAUUCCCAGUGUAGAGGUGAAAUUCGUAGAUAUUGGGAAGAACACCGGUGGCGAAGGCGGCUCACUGGCUCAUUUCUGACGCUCAGGCGCGAAAGCGUGGGGAGCGAACAGG